UCAAGGGCCCGAAUUUCCAUGGGCUGCCAAUCAUAAUUAAAAGGAAUGUGGCAGUUCAGGAAGGUCGCGGCAGCAAGGAUCUCCCUGAAUAAACACCGGGUCCCAGCUGAAAACCACUCCAAAGGCUCCGAGUGAUAAAACCACCGGCAUCUACACGGGAGAUGCUUCCCACCUUGCCAAUCAGGAAGCCACUAAUCUGGAAUGUGAUGGGAGAAGUACCAGCAGUAGGCAGUGAAGCUUCCACCCCCAAAAGGGUUUAAAAUAAGACACUGGGAGCAUGACACCAGCUGCCAAAGCUGCAGCCUCCCUCUCCCCCCCCAGCAGAGCAGCCCAGGAAUGCGGCCAGGAAUGCAGCCGGGGCUGGGAUGCAGCAGCCCGCAGCCGCACACCAGCUUCCCAGGAGCGGUUCCCUCCCGACCACAGCCUGACAUAAUGGACAGGCAGCUCCUGCAUCAACACUGACAGCCCCGGCAGAGGGGAAAGCUCCUUCCCGUGUUUCUCCUGGGGGCUCUUCCAGCCUCCACAUCCCCUGAGGGGGGAUUCGGUGCUGGCCAUGACUCUUGCUGCUGCGGUGAGCGGGGUUUGGAGAGCAGAGCACUGGGUCCGGCUCGCACCAGGGACCUGCAUGUCCAGGGCGGCCACAGGCACUUGGCAUGUGCUGGUAAUGCAAUGUGAUGUCCAGCCCCAUGCUCCCCUUCAGACCCGCACAGAGGCAGGGUAAUGCACUCGCUGCCUUCAGAGAGGGUUUGCUCUAAAUGUAUUUAAAACCUAGAGGUUUAACUGCCUCUGCGGGGAUGGGGCUUCAGAGGCAGAACCGAAACUCAACAGGAACAGUGCUGGAACUGUGAGCUUGAUUGAAAAACUGCUCUGUGCCGUCAUUUCCUCUGCAGGCAGAGCCCCUCAAACAGCCUGGGACCGGCACGGUAGUGCUGAAAACAAACUGGAGCAAACAAAAGGCAUUUUGUGCCCACUCUUGUCUUCAGCCGUGCAGCCUCACGUGUGGAGGCACCUGGCAGGAGCCUUACCCGAGCAAAGGACUUCAGGAGCAUUUACUGCGCUGCAGAAACAUCCAGCAAAAGCCCUAGAACUCAGUGCCCCCCCAUGACCUGUCAGCAUGGGAAAGGCCUCUGGUUGCUGCAGCAGAGCUGGGGGCAUCUCUGGUGAGGGGU